rnacentral:rRNA from 1 species
GUGCACCAGUCGCGAAACUUUACAAUGUGCGAAAGCACGAUAAGGGAACUCUGAGUGCCUCCUAAGGAGGCUGUUCAGGUGUCUAAAAGCACCUGGAGUAAGGGCUGGGUAAGACCGGUGCCAGCCGCCGCGGUAACACCGGCAGCCCAGGUGGUAGCCACUUUUAUUGGGUCUAAAACGUCCGUAGCCGGUUGAGUAAGUUCCUUGGGAAAUUUGGCUGCUCAACAGUCAAGCUUCCAGGGAAUACUGCUCGACUUGGGACUGGGAGAGGUCAGAGGUACUCCAGGGGUAGGGUGAAAUCCAUUAAUCCCUGGGGGACCACCGGUAGCGAAGGCGUCUGACCAGACCAGGUCCGACGGUGAGGGACGAAGGCUAGGGUCGCGAACCGGAUUAGAUACCCCUGUAGU